UACGUAGGGUCCGAGCGUUGUCCGGAAUUAUUGGGCGUAAAGGGCGCGUAGGCGGCUUGAUAAGGUUGCGGUGAAAGCCCGGGGCUCAACCCCGGGUCGGCCGUGGCAACUGUCGAGCUGGAGCACUGUAGAGGCAGGUGGAAUUCCGGGUGUAGCGGUGGAAUGCGUAGAGAUCCGGAAGAACACCGGUGGCGAAGGCGGCCUGCUGGGCAGUGGCUGACGCUGAGGCGCGACAGCGUGGGGGAGCAAAACAGG
rnacentral:rRNA from 1 species